rnacentral:rRNA from 1 species
UACGGGGGGGGCAAGCGUUGUUCGGAAUUACUGGGCGUAAAGGGCUCGUAGGUGGCCAACUAAGUCAGACGUGAAAUCCCUCAGCUUAACUGGGGAACUGCGUCUGAUACUGGAUGGCUUGAGUUUGGGAGAGGGAUGCGGAAUUCCGGGUGUAGCGGUGAAAUGCGUAGAUAUCUGGAGGAACACCCGUGGUGCAGACGGCUUGCUGGACCAUGACUGACGCUGAGGCACG